CAAUAGCGUAUAUUUAAGUUGUUGCAGUUAAAAAGCUCGUAGUUGGAUUUCGGGUGGGACGCAGCGGUCUCGCAUUGCGUUUGUACUGCUGCAGCCCUCCUUCUUGCCGGGGGCGGUCUCUCGGACUUCACUGUCUGGGGGUCAGAAUCGGCGAUGUUACUUUGAGUAAAUUAGAGUGUUCAAAGCAAGCUUACGCUCUGAAUAUAAUAGCAUGGGAUAACACGACAGGACUCUGGCCUAUCGUGUUGGUCUAUAGGACCAGAGUAAUGAUUAAGAGGGACAGUCGGGGGCAUUCGUAUUCCGUUGUCAGAGGUGAAAUUCUUGGAUUUACGGAAGACGAACAUCUGCGAAAGCAUUUGCCAAGGAUGUUUUCAUUGA
rnacentral:rRNA from 1 species